rnacentral:misc_RNA from 1 species
GAUGAAGAACGUAGUGAAACGCGAUAAGUAAUGUGAAUUGCAGAAUUCAGUGAAUCAUCGAAUCUUUGAACGCACAUUGCGCCCGUCAGUAUUCUGGCGGGCAUGCCUGUUCGAGCGUCAUUACGCCCCUCAAGUCCCCUGUGGACUUGGUGUUGGGGAUCGGCGAGGCUGGUUUUCCAGCACAGCCGUCCCUUAAAUUAAUUGGCGGUCUCGCCGUGGCCCUCCUCUGCGCAGUAGUAAAACACUCGCAACAGGAGCCCGGCGCGGUCCACUGCCGUAAAACCCCCCAACUUUUUAUAGUUGACCUCGAAUCAGGUAGGACUACCCGCUGAACUUAAGCAUAUCAAUAAGCGGAGGA